GGGCGGGUGGCGGAAUAGGUAGACGCGACGGCCUCAAAAGCCGUUGGGCUUUGGCCCGUGAGGGUUCGAUUCCCUCUCCGCCCA
rnacentral:tRNA from 1 species